ACCCCCGGGCUCUGCUGCUGGGCAUGUAGCUCGCCCUUCCGGGGAGUGGGGUGAAAGACCUGAGUGAACGUGGGAGCCCCACGUUUGAGGACUCCUCCUGUGGGUGUAUGGUUCCUGACAGAUUCUCCCACAGAAGGCGAUCGCGUGUGCUGGCUACCUCCCCUCCGUCCACCUGUCUCCUCUCUGUCCAGGUCCCACAUAUGAGUGCCAUCACCUCUCUUGCUCUGCCUGACUUAUUUCACGGAGCAUAAGGCCCUCCAAGUGCAUUCACGUUGUCUGAUUUGGAAUCUUAACACCAUGUGCAGUGUCCCCUUCACAGCAGCACCUAUGUGACCAGGGCGGCACCAUCAGUGGUCAGUCAAGUGGAUCCACGUGCUCACCCUCCCCCCACACCGCCCCCUCUCAGAGGACUUGCUGAGAAAAGCACUUAGCCGGCUGGCUUCGGGUUUCUCCCCAGGACGCCCCAAAGCGGUGAAAGUCCUCAAAACCCAAGGCAAGUUUGGGAAAUGAUCACAGACCAGUGGAGACUUGAGAAGGCAUGACAGAGGCCAGGUGGUACCCCGGGUGGGGUCCUGGAACAGAAAAGGGGCAUCAAGGGAAAGUGAGCUAAA